rnacentral:rRNA from 1 species
UACGAAGGGAGCUAGCGUUGUUCGGAAUCACUGGGCGUAAAGCGCACGUAGGCGGAUGUGUCAGUCAGGGGUGAAAUCCCGGAGCUCAACUUCGGAACUGCCUUUGAUACUGCACAUCUGGAGUCCGGAAGAGGUGGGUGGAAUUCCUAGUGUAGAGGUGAAAUUCGUAGAUAUUAGGAAGAACACCGGUGGCGAAGGCGGCCCACUGGUCCGGUACUGACGCUGAGGUGCGAAAGCGUGGGGAGCAAACAGG